CCCCUCCAUAAGUGUUAGAGAUGAGGAUCGGCCCUCCUACAAGGGCCUGUGGGGGAACAGAAUCCUUUAUAAAGUGCUGUGUGGAGGCCAAGCUCCUCUACAGGAGCCUGGGAGGGAGGUAAGUUCCCCUACUGAGGACCGGCUGGGAGGCCAGGAUCAUCUCUAGGAGCCGGGAAAGAAUCCAAACUUCUCUAUAAGGGAGUGGCCAGGCUCCCCCUAAAAGGACUGGCAGGGAGGCAAGGCUCAUCUAGAGGAGCCUAGGAGGAGGCCAGCUUCGCCUAUAGGGACCUGUGGAGGGGCCAGGCUCUCCUGUAACGCCCCCGGUGCGGAGGGGGGUGGGGAGGGAGUCUCCUCCAUAAGAGUCUGGGACAAGGCCAGGUGUCUCUAUAAGGGUCUGUGGGGAGGUCCAGCUGCCGCUAUAGGGAAUGCGAGGUAAGAAACCAAGGCCCUACUACUGAGGCUGGGGAGUGUGAGUUCUCUUCUUUCUACUUGUGCCGUAGCAGGACCCGGAAGUGCCACCGGAGCGGGGCAGCCUGUCUGCAGUGCCUGAGGCAUCUCCAGCCGCAGCGGGGCUCCAGUCUCAGCCUGGGGGACCAGGCGUCACUGACCCUUUUGAUCCCUACUCAGGUGCUCAGCUGCCCCAGGGAGCCACCGCUGGAGCCGAGGCCAUGCCCCACUGGAGCAGAAGUGAUUGCAGCCAGUCCCCAGAUGGAGGAGUCCCUGCAGAGCUCAGUCCCUCCUUGCAGAAGACAUUGUAGUCAAAGACCUAAUGAUCUUGAACAGCUGGGAGUAACUGGAAACACCACCACACUGGCCAGACCAACAGUGUCUUCUGCCUGGAGAACCUACAAACAGGAUCAACAGCAUCUAGUGAUGUAGCCGUCAACUGUGGCAUAAUCAGGCUCACCUGAAA